rnacentral:rRNA from 1 species
AACGAACGCUGGCGGCAGGCUUAACACAUGCGAGUCGAACGCCCCGCAAGGGGAGUGGCAGACGGGUGAGUAACGCGUGGGAACAUACCCUUUUCUACGGAAUAGCUCUGGGAAACUGGAAUUAAUACCGUAUACGCCCUACGGGGGAAAGAUUUAUCGGGGAAGGAUUGGCCCGCGUUGGAUUAGCUAGUUGGUGGGGUAAAGGCCUACCAAGGCGACGAUCCAUAGCUGGUCUGAGAGGAUGAUCAGCCACAUUGGGACUGAGACACGGCCCAAACUCAGACGGGAGGAAGCAGGGGGGAAUAGUGGAGAAGGGGUGCAAGCCUGAUACAGCCAUGACGCGUGAGUAAUGAAGGGGUUAGGGGAGAAAAGCUCUUUCACAGAUGAAGAUAAUGACGGUAGUAGGAGAAAAAGCCAAGGCUAACUUC